ACGAUGAUUUCCCAGCUUGCUGGGAAUGAUUAGUGGCGGACGGGUGAGUAACAUUUAGGAAUCUGCCUAGUAGUGGGGGAUAGCUCGGGGAAACUCGAAUUAAUACCGCAUACGACCUACGGGUGAAAGGGGGCGCAAGCUCUUGCUAUUAGAUGAGCCUAAAUCAGAUUAGCUAGUUGGUGGGGUAAAGGCCCACCAAGGCGACGAUCUGUAACUGGUCUGAGAGGAUGAUCAGUCACACCGGAACUGAGACACGGUCCGGACUCCUACGGGAGGCAGCAGUGGGGAAUAUUGGACAAUGGGGGCAACCCUGAUCCAGCCAUGCCGCGUGUGUGAAGAAGGCCUUUUGGUUGUAAAGCACUUUAAGCAGGGAGGAGAGGCUAAUGGUUAAUACCCAUUAGAUUAGACGUUACCUGCAGAAUAAGCACCGGCUAACUCUGUGCCAGCAGCCGCGGUAAUACAGAGGGUGCGAGCGUUAAUCGGAAUUACUGGGCGUAAAGCGAGUGUAGGUGGCUCAUUAAGUCACAUGUGAAAUCCCCGGGCUUAACCUGGGAACUGCAUGUGAUACUGGUGGUGCUAGAAUAUGUGAGAGGGAAGUAGAAUUCCAGGUGUAGCGGUGAAAUGCGUAGAGAUCUGGAGGAAUACCGAUGGCGAAGGCAGCUUCCUGGCAUAAUAUUGACACUGAGAUUCGAAAGCGUGGGUAGCAAACAGGAUUAGAUACCCUGGUAGUCCACGCCGUAAACGAUGUCUACUAGCCGUUGGGGUCCUUGAGACUUUAGUGGCGCAGUUAACGCGAUAAGUAGACCGCCUGGGGAGUACGGCCGCAAGGUUAAAACUCAAAUGAAUUGACGGGGGCCCGCACAAGCGGUGGAGCAUGUGGUUUAAUUCGAUGCAACGCGAAGAACCUUACCUGGUCUUGACAUAGUGAGAAUCUUUCAGAGAUGCGGGAGUGCCUUCGGGAAUUCACAUACAGGUGCUGCAUGGCUGUCGUCAGCUCGUGUCGUGAGAUGUUGGGUUAAGUCCCGCAACGAGCGCAACCCUUUUCCUUAUUUGCCAGCGGGUUAAGCCGGGAACUUUAAGGAUACUGCCAGUGACAAACUGGAGGAAGGCGGGGACGACGUCAAGUCAUCAUGGCCCUUACGACCAGGGCUACACACGUGCUACAAUGGUAGGUACAGAGGGUUGCUACACAGCGAUGUGAUGCUAAUCUCAAAAAGCCUAUCGUAGUCCGGAUUGGAGUCUGCAACUCGACUCCAUGAAGUCGGAAUCGCUAGUAAUCGCGGAUCAGAAUGCCGCGGUGAAUACGUUCCCGGGCCUUGUACACACCGCCCGUCACACCAUGGGAGUCUAUUGCACCAGAAGUAGGUAGCCUAA
rnacentral:rRNA from 1 species